rnacentral:rRNA from 1 species
CGGGUGCGUAACACGUGAGCAACCUGCCGAUCUGAGGGGGAUAGCCGGCCCAACGGCCGGGUAAUACCGCAUACGGUUUCUAUGGGACAUCCUGUGGGAACGAAACCUCCGGGGCAGAUCGAGGGGCUCGCGGCCUAUCAGCUAGUUGGUGCGGGUAACGGCCCACCAAGGCGACGACGGGUAGCUGGUCUGAGAGGAUGGCCAGCCACAUUGGGACUGAGAGACGGCCCAG